AAAAUCCAGAUGUUGGGCUUGAACGCACAACCUUCUGUUUCAGAGGUGAUUCAAAGGUGCUACCAUCUUACUCAAGCUGACAUCUAAACCUAUUAUGUUUUGUUGCCAUCUGGCCUGGAACAAACAAAUAGAGACAUUCAAACUAGUAAACGUUAAAAACAUUGCAGAUAAUCCUGUGGAUUGUCAAGACCUUUCCGAAUUUAAUAGUUUUAAAACCAUCCCUUCUCCAUCCAUCCUGAAGAUGAUGACUUUUGCUGAGGUUUGCAAUAGUAAAUCUAGGUGAAGAGUUUGAAGAUGCUAAGGAAUGCCACUUCGUGUGGAAUGCCAUCCUGAAAAAUAUUUGUUGUGAAACUGACAGCAAAGGAGGAUUAUGUUGACCUACUGAAGACAAUGAACACUUCCACCAAUAUUUAUUUACCAACAGUGCUGAAAACGUGAUGCUCCCUCUCUGCUUAUUCUCAAUUUAUUAAAGGCAACUAAAAUCACAGGUUUUGAUUUUUUUUAAAAAAAAUGUCACA